rnacentral:sRNA from 2 species
CGGUGAAGCUUAACGUGCAGGAUGAGAACCUGCAGCAGGUUCGACAAAAUUGCACUGCAAUUUUGUGCUGAUGCGCCAGCAUCACCCGCAGGGCGAGCAUCAAUAUGAUGCGAGGCAUAUCCUGCACGACCCACCA